GAAAUGCGAUAAGUAAUGUGAAUUGCAGAAUUCAGUGAAUCAUCGAAUCUUUGAACGCACAUUGCGCCCCCUGGUAUUCCGGGGGGUAUGCCUGUUCGAGCGUCAUUUCACCACUCAAGCCUCGCUUGGUAUUGGGCAACGCGGUCCGCCGCGUGCCUCAAAUCGACCGGCUGGGUCUUCUGUCCCCUAAGCGUUGUGGAAACUAUUCGCUAAAGGGUGUUCGGGAGGCUACGCCGUAAAACAACCCCAUUUCUAAGGUUGACCUCGGAUCAGGUAGGGAUACCCGCUGAACUUAAGC
rnacentral:misc_RNA from 1 species